rnacentral:rRNA from 1 species
GGACGGGGCCCGCACAAGCAGCGGAGCGUGUGGUUUAAUUCGAUGAUACACGAAGAACCUUACCCAGGCUUGACAUGUUGGUAGUAGGGAUCCGAAAGGUGACCGACCCUUCGGGGAGCCUUCACAGGUGCUGCAUGGCUGUCGUCAGCUCGUGUCGUGAGAUGUCCGGUUAAGUCCGGUAACGAGCGCAACCCUCGCUGUGUGUUAUAUGUGUCACACGGGACUGCCGGUAUCAAGCCGGAGGAAGUGGGGAUGACGUCAAGUCAGCAUGGCCUUUAUGUCUGGGGCUACACACACGCUACAAUGGCCAGUACAAUAGGUUGCAAGACCGCGAGGUGGAGCCAAUCCUUAAAGCUGGUCUCAGUUCGGAUUGUAGUCUGCAACCCGACUGCAUGAAGAUGGAGUUGCUAGUAACCGCAGGUCAGCUAUACUGCGGUGAAUACGUUCCCGGGCCUU